rnacentral:misc_RNA from 1 species
GAUGAAGAACGUAGCGAAAUGCGAUAAGUAAUGUGAAUUGCAGAAUUCAGUGAAUCAUCGAAUCUUUGAACGCACAUUGCGCCCGCUAGUAUUCUGGCGGGCAUGCCUGUCCGAGCGUCAUUUCAACCCUCAAGCCCCCGGGCUUGGUGUUGGGGAUCGGCGAGCCUCCGCGCCCGCCGUCCCCUAAAUCUAGUGGCGGUCUCGCUGUAGCUUCCUCUGCGUAGUAGCACACCUCGCACUGGGAAACAGCGCGGCCACGCCGUUAAACACCCAACUUCUGAACGUUUGACCUCGGAUCAGGUAGGAAUACCCGCUGAACUUAAGCAUAUCAAUAAGCGGAGGA